rnacentral:rRNA from 1 species
UACUUAGUGGCAGACGGGUGAGUAGCAUGUGGGUAUCUACCCUUUGGCCUGGAAUAACACGAGGAAACUUGUGCUAAUACCGGAUAAGUCUUUACGGAGAAAGCUUUAUGCACCAUUGGAUGAGCCCGCACUUGAUUAGUUUGUUGGUAGGGUAAUGGCCUACCAAGACUAUGAUCAAUAGCUGAUUUGAGAGGAUGAUCAGCCACAUUGGGACUGAGACACGGCCCAAACUCCUACGGGAGGCAGCAGUGGGGAAUCUUGCACAAUGGAGGAAACUCUGAUGCAGCGAUGCCGCGUGAGUGAAGAAGGCCUUUGGGUUGUAAAGCUCUUUCGUCGGGGAAGAAAAUGACUGUACCCGAAUAAGAAGGUCCGGCUAACUUCGUGCCAGCAGCCGCGGUAAUACGAAGGGACCUAGCGUAGUUCGGAAUUACUGGGCUUAAAGAGUUCGUAGGUGGUUGAAAAAGUUGGUGGUGAAAUCCCAGAGCUUAACUCUGGAACUGCCAUCAAAACUUUUCAGCUAGAGUAUGAUAG